rnacentral:rRNA from 1 species
CACGGGGGGCCUACGGGAGGCAGCAGUAGGGAAUAUUGGGCAAUGGUCGCAAGACUGACCCAGCCAUGCCGCGUGCAGGAAGACGGCCCUCUGGGUUGUAAACUGCUUUUAUCUGGGAAGAAAAAGUCCAUGCGUGGAAAAUUGCCGGUACCAGAUGAAUAAGCACCGGCUAACUCCGUGCCAGCAGCCGCGGUAAUACGGAGGGUGCAAGCGUUGUCCGGAUUUAUUGGGUUUAAAGGGUGCGUAGGCGGCUGAAUAAGUCAGCGGUGAAAGACUUCGGCUUAACCGGAGCAGUGCCGUUGAUACUGUUUAGCUUGAGUGUUGGAGGGGUACAUGGAAUUGAUGGUGUAGCGGUGAAAUGCAUAGAUACCAUCAGGAACACCGAUAGCGAAGGCAUUGUACUGGCCAACAACUGACGCUGAGGCACGAAAGUGUGGGGAUCGAACAGGAUUAGAUACCCUGGUAGUCCACACCGUAAACGAUGAUUACUCGCUGUUAUGGUGUAAGCUGUAGCGGCCAAGCGAAAGCGUUAAGUAAUCCCCCUGGAGCCCGC